AAUCCCUUGGCUCAGUGGUUAGAGCGAUGGUCUUGUGAGCUACAGGUCGCGGGUUCAAACUCCGCAGGGAAGA
rnacentral:tRNA from 1 species